rnacentral:rRNA from 1 species
UAACACGGAGGAUGCAAGCGUUAUCCGGAUUUAUUAGGUUUAAAGGGUGCGUAGGCUGAAAAUUAAGUCAGUGGUGAAAUCUUGUAGCUUAACUACAAAACUGCCAUUGAUACUGGUUUUCUUGAGUAUAGUUGAGGUAGGCGGAAUGUGUAGUGUAGCGGUGAAAUGCAUAGAUAUUACACAGAACACCAAUUGCGAAGGCAGCUUACUAAACUAUAACUGACGCUGAUGCACGAAAGCGUGGGUAGCGAACAGGAUUAGAUACCCUGGUAGUCCACGCCGUAAACGAUGAUUACUCGUUGCAUGCAAUACACCGUAUGUGACUUAGCGAAAGCAUUAAGUAAUCCACCUGGGGAGUACGUUCGCAAGAAUG